rnacentral:rRNA from 1 species
UAGCCGUAAACGAUACUCGCUAGGUGUCGGCCACGGUGCGACCGUUGUCGGUGCCGUAGGGAAGCCGUGAAGCGAGCCACCUGGGAAGUACGGCCGCAAGGCUGAAACUUAAAGGAAUUGGCGGGGGGAGCACCACAACGCGUGGAGCCUGCGGUUUAAUUGGAUUCAACGCCGGACAUCUCACCAGGGCGACAGCAGAAUGAUGGCCAGGUUGAUGACCUUGCUUGACAAGCUGAGAGGAGGUGCAUGGCGUGUGACUGU